UACGUAGGGUGCGAGCGUUGCCCCGGAUUUAUUGGGCGUAAAGGGCGCGUAGGCGGUCACGCACGUCCGUUGUGAAAUCGCUCGGCUCAACUGGGCGGGGUCAGCGGAUACGGCGUAGCUGGAGCAAGCUAGGGGGCAAUGGAAUUCCCGGUGUAGUGGUGGAAUGCGUAGAUAUCUGGAGGAACACCGGUGGCGAAGGCGGCAUCCUGGACCGGUAUUGACGCUGAGGCGCGAAAGCCAGGGGAGCAAAGCGGG
rnacentral:rRNA from 1 species